rnacentral:tRNA from 1 species
AGAAACUUAGGAUAACCAGACCAAGAGCCUUCAAAGCUCUAAGUAAGAGUUUGAACCUCUUAGCUUCUG